rnacentral:rRNA from 1 species
GACGAACGCUGGCGGCGUGCUUAACACAUGCAAGUCGAACGGUAAGGCCCUUCGGGGUACACGAGUGGCGAACGGGUGAGUAACACGUGGGUGAUCUGCCCUGCACUUCGGGAUAAGCCUGGGAAACUGGGUCUAAUACCGGAUAGGACUCCGGACUGCAUGGUCUGGGGUGGAAAGCUUUUGCGGUGUGGGAGGGGCCCGGGGCCUAUCAGCUUGUUGGGGGGGUGAUGGCCUACCAAGGAAACGACGGGUAGGCGGCCUGGGAGGGGGACCGGCCACACUGGGACUGAGAUACGGCCCAGACUCCUACGGGAGGCAGCAGUGGGGAAUAUUGCACAAUGGGCGCAAGCCUGAUGCAGCGACGCCGCGUGAGGGAUGACGGCCUUCGGGUUGUAAACCUCUUUCAGCACAGACGAAGCGCAAGUGACGGUAUGUGCAGAAGAAGGACCGGCCAACUACGUGCCAGCAGCCGCCGUAA